rnacentral:rRNA from 1 species
GAUGAACGCUGGCGGCGUGCCUAAUACAUGCAAGUCGAGCGAACGGACGUGAAGCUUGCUUUUCUGAUGUUAGCGGCGGACGGGUGAGUAACACGUGGAUAACCUACCUAUAAGACUGGGAUAACUUCGGGAAACCGGAGCUAAUACCGGAUAAUAUUUUGAACCGCAUGGUUCAAAAGUGAAAGACGGUCUUGCUGUCACUUAUAGAUGGAUCCGCUCUGCAUUAGCUAGUUGGUAAGGUAACGGCUUACCAAGGCAACGAUGCAUAGCCGACCUGAGAGGGUGAUCGGCCACACUGGAACUGAGACACGGUCCAGACUCCUACGGGAGGCAGCAGUAGGGAAUCUUCCGCAAUGGGCGAAAGCCUGACGGAGCAACGCCGCGUGAGUGAUGAAGGUCUUCGGAUCGUAAAACUCUGUUAUUAGGGAAGAACAUAUGUGUAAGUAACUGUGCACAUCUUGACGGUACCUAAUCAGAAAGCCACGGCUAACUACGUG